ensembl:misc_RNA 7SK 7SK RNA
GGAUGUGAAGGCAAUCUGGCUGAGGCAUCUGUCACCCCAUUGGUCUCCAGGGUUGAUUGUGAUGAUCUGUCUGGUUAAGCGGGUGACCCCUUCCUCCUUCACCAGUCCAUAUGUGUCCCUCCGGAAGCUUCAAGAGGACUAUUUCCUCCCCAAAAGAGACAGACUUGUCUAAUGCUCCCCUACUAGAACCUCCAGACAAGCUCUCAAGAAACACUGUUAGGCACUGAGUAGAUUUGCUCCUUCUCUUGAUGAGAAAGUUCACGUCAAAAGAA